rnacentral:rRNA from 1 species
UGGGGAAUAUUGGACAAUGGGCGCAAGCCUGAUCCAGCCAUGCCGCGUGGAUGAUGAAGGCCUUAGGGUUGUAAAGUCCUUUUAACGGGGAAGAUAAUGACGGUACCCGUAGAAUAAGCCCCGGCUAACUUCGUGCCAGCAGCCGCGGUAAUACGAAGGGGGCUAGCGUUGCUCGGAAUUACUGGGCGUAAAGCGCACGUAGGCGGCUCUUUAAGUCGGGGGUGAAAUCCUGGAGCUCAACUCCAGAACUGCCUUCGAUACUGUAGAGCUUGAGUUCGGGAGAGGUGAGUGGAACUGCGAGUGUAGAGGUGAAAUUCGUAGAUAUUCGCAAGAACACCAGUGGCGAAGGCGGCUCACUGGCCCGAUACUGACGCUGAGGUGCGAAAGCGUGGGGAGCAAACAG